UGGGGAAUAUUGCACAAUGGGCGCAAGCCUGAUGCAGCCAUGCCGCGUGUGAGAAGAAGGCCUUCGGGUUGUAAAGCACUUUCAGCGGGGAGGAAGGCGAUAAGGUUAAUAACCUUGUCGAUUGACGUUACCCGCAGAAUAAGCACCGGCUAACUCCGUGCCAGCAGCCGCGGUAAUACGGAGGGUGCAAGCGUUAAUCGGCAUUACUGGGCGUAAGGUGCACGCAGGCGGUCUGUCAAGUCGGAUGUGAAAUCCCCGGGCUUAAACUGGGAACUGCAAUCGAAACUGGCAGGCUAGAGUCUUGUAGAGGGGGGUAGAAUUACAGGUGUAGCGGUUAAAUGCGUAGAGAUCUGGAGGAAUACCGGUAGCGAAGGCGGCCCCCUGGACAAAGACUGACGCUCAGGUGCGAAAGCGUGGGGAGCAAACAGG
rnacentral:rRNA from 1 species